GGGUGCCUGCCAGUAAUGGCAGUUGCUAAGCGUAGACAGCGAGAAAAUAGAGAGUGUGAUUGAGCCUCGAAAUUUUAACAUCUAGAAGGCUGACGCUUUAAUUCCAGCGGAAAGCAACACAAAUCAAAGUGAGUUCGUUGCCGAUAUAGGACA
rfam:Firmicutes bacterium CAG:227 genomic scaffold, scf258